rnacentral:other from 1 species
AAUGCCCUGCUUGUUACGUGGAGGAAGAAGCGCCACAGCCAACACCAAUAAGAAGGGAGCUUAAUCUCCCUACUGUUGUGACAGUAGGGAUGCGGCGCCCACCUGUAUGAGAAGAGGACUGUGCGAGGCUUAUCCUUCACGGACAAAGCAGGGCUUUU